rnacentral:lncRNA from 1 species
GGGAGAGGGGGCGGGAGGGUCUGGCUGCGGAGAGGCCUGCGGAGGGAGCCCGCGCCUGGUCGGCGAGGGCGGACGGACGGACAGACCGCCGGCCGCGGCCCCUGACGCACGCUGCGCCCGGGCCCCCUCCCGGGCGGCGGGGGUGGCGGUGUCUGCGCGCACACGCUCGCUCACAGACACACACACUCACACGGGCCACGCCAUAGACACACGACACGCACCGAGCCACGGCCGGGCGCCGCGCACACUCGCACCCGCGCUCACACUCACUCACGCGCAGGCCCCGCGGCCGCGGUUGCCGGAGGCGGCGCUCAGCCCGGAUCCCGGCUGGGGCUGGAGGAACAAGGUGACAGAUGGGUCUCUUCCUUCCCACCCUCGUCUCUCGCGCUCCCUCUCGGAGCUCCGCUCUCCAGCCUCUCGCGGGAAUCUUCUGAAGUUCUGGACUCAGGACCCGAGGAGGAAGAGGAGGAGGAGGGAGAGGAAGUUAGGCCCUGAGAACCUGUGCACCUUCCCGUCAGGAGAGCAGCAGCGCAGGGACGCAGGCUGUGGGGCCCGCCGCCCCCCUGGCCCAGGCCUGGCCGCAGUGCCCGGCGCCUGCCAGUAGCGCCCUGCCAGCCUCACUGGGGGCCCCCGGGCUGGGGGUCGCCCCCAAGAUGGUGGCGGCCCCAGGAAGGACUGUGCUGCCAGCCCCAGCCUCUGGCUGCUAGGCCCUCCGCACCCCGGCCCCUCACGCCCAGCCCGGCCCGCGAGG